GUUCGCCUACGGUGCGCAGCAGUGAGGAAUAUUGGUCAAUGGACGCAAGUCUGAACCAGCCAUGCCGCGUGCAGGAAGACGGCUCUAUGAGUUGUAAACUGCUUUUGUACGAGGGUAAACGCAGAUACGUGUAUCUGUCUGAAAGUAUCGUACGAAUAAAGAUCGGCUAACUCCGUGCCAGCAGCCGCGGUAAUACGGAGGAUUCAAGCGUUAUCCGGAUUUAUUGGGCUUAAAGGGUGCGUAGGCGGUCGGAUAAGUUAGAGGUGGAAUCCCGAGGCUCAACUUCGGAAUUGCCUCUGAUACUU
rnacentral:rRNA from 1 species